UACGUAGGGUGCGAGCGUUAAUCGGAAUUACUGGGCGUAAAGCGUGCGCAGGCGGCGCGUUAAGACAGGUGUGAAAGCCCCGAGCUUAACUUGGGAAUUGCGCUUGUGACUGGCGUGCUGGAGUGUGGCAGAGGGAGGUGGAAUUCCACGUGUAGCAGUGAAAUGCGUAGAUAUCAAGCGGAACACCAGUGGCGAAGGCGACUUCUUGGCCUGUUCUUGACGCUGAGGCGCGAAAGCUGGGGGAGCAAACAGG
rnacentral:rRNA from 1 species